rnacentral:rRNA from 1 species
UACGGAGGGGACUAGCGUUGUUCGGAAUUACUGGGCGUAAAGCGCACGUAGGCGGAUUUGUAAGUCAGGGGUGAAAUCCCGGGGCUCAACCUCGGAACUGCCUUUGAUACUGCAAAUCUCGAGUCCGGAAGAGGUGAGUGGAAUUCCUAGUGUAGAGGUGAAAUUCGUAGAUAUUAGGAGGAACACCAAUAGCGAAGGCAGCUCGCUGGGACGUUACUGACACUGAGGCGCGAAAGCGUGGGGAGCGAACAGG